AGCAACCAUAUUCCAAGGCACAAUUCAUUCACCAGGAAGUAGGUCCCCAAACUGUGAGCACAGAGUCCACAAUUAAUUAUAAGACUAUAAUGGUAACAUGUAAAGUCAAAUCUAUAAAAUUAAGACAGUCAUCACAAACUUUGGGGGAGGGGGAACAUUCUUGGAAAUACAGUGGGCCUUCUUGUGAUUCAAAUAAAGUAGCUUCUUAAGACCACUAGUAGGAAUCAAGGAACUUGAAAAAGAUGAGAUUUGAGAUGACAGUUAUGACUAAUGUAUCUUACAGAGUUUAUGUAAAUAAAUUCUCAUAUAAUACCCUAGCUGGAUAAUUACUGUAUAUAAGUGCUCAAUAAAUUGUACUCACAAUUAUUAUGUAAUAAAUACUAGCACCUCCUAUGUAACUUAAUCCUCCGUUUAAGUAGAAAUAUCAUCUAAUCUUCAACUUCUUCAUUUUCCAGAGUAGGGGAGUUACCCCUUUGAGUGCUGUUAUGUCAUGAAGGAAAGGAAUUACACAGAAAAAGUGAUACUCUGGGAUGUAUAUCCAUCCUUGGGGAAGUAAGAAAAGAAGAAUUAAGAAAGGACUUUGUAAGCUAGCAAAGGACAGGAAGUAGUGCCUGAAGAGUUCAAUGUGUGACUAAGAGGGCUAACAUACAGUACUUGAGGUUUAGAGGAAGCAAAAAGAAAAAAAUAAGAAUUUAAGUAGCAAGAGUCUCAAAAAGGUGUUGCAAUAGAUUCAUUCUCUAUAGGAAUUUAUUAAAUGAUCAGGACCUUGCACUUUGGAGAGAUUAUGGCUGAGAGGUAGAAGUUAUAACAGGGGCUGUAUAAUCAGGAAGAAUAGAGGCAAGGGUCAACACAAACCAGCUCACUUUCACAUCCCUGAACACAAUAAGCACUGGGACUGAGACAAAGCAGAGGGAAAGCUGAAAGCUGAAAACUCAAGGAAGUAUGUGUUUAUGAAAACUAAAACACUGCAGCAACUCUAAGACAGGGAUUAUGUGUUGUUUUUCUCAGUAUUUCCAACAGUUAGCCCAGUACCCGGUAUGUCAUCCACAAAUCAGGGUUGACUGAAUAGUCCUGUUCAACAGCAAAAAUACUGGCAGUGAGAAGUCAAAUUAAGAGGUUCCUUUCUAACUGCAUGGUUCUGUCUGCAGUCCCACUCUUGUCCAAACCAUCCUCCGCAUUGCUGAUGUAUUCUUCCUGAAUGGCAAAUCUGAUCAUGUUACUCUUGAAGUGCUUUAAACUCCUCGGCCUCCGGCAUAUACUGUAAAUCUCUGAGCCCAACAGACAAAGCCUUUUGUGAUUUGACGCCUUGUUGCUGUGGCUAUCUUACUCGAGCUAUGUUGUGGUCCUGCUAGGCUGAUGAAGUUCCCCACAUAUGUCCUCUCUCACCCAGAUGCCCCCACUUGUGCACACACUGCUCCUUGUCUGCCUGAGGAGCCCCUCAUUAUCUUUCAGUCAUCAUCUCAAAUAUAAUUUUCUCCAGAAAAAUUUCCCAACAUUUCUAAGCAAAUUCAGUGAUCUCUCCUCUAAGUUUUCAAAAGUGUUUGUUCAUGCUCCUAUUAUGGCACUAAUUACAUCAUUAAUGUUUCCAUGACACCUUUUUGAUACCUCACAUUGGACUGUAUUCAUUUUUACAACCCCAGCCAAUUGAAUGGGAUAAGGAAGUUUUUUAAAAAUGCUUGUUAAGGAAAUGAAUAGAUUAUAAGGCCAAAAAAUAGAGCUAAAGCUUAAUACUCAGGUGCACAAGACACAAGAAGAUGCUCAAAGUCAGUGAGAAAUUGAUAGAUUCAACUCUGCUAUCUUGGUGGUCAUAAGAAAGAAUAAAAGGUAAAUACAAUCCUUAUCCAUAACUGAACACAAAAGUGGGAAGAAAAGGAAAGAAGAUCAUAAAUGGUAGACUUCAGACAUGGAACAGUAUUCUGUAUUUCAAUCCAAAUACAUUUUACAGCCAAGACUGAACCAUCCAUCAUUUAUAACUAAACAAGGAGGAUCUCUUAUAUUUUAGUCAUUGAGGAGAUAUGUGUUUUCUGCUGAUACCAAAACUACAAUAAAGAUGACACUGUC